GGGGAUGUUUUGGUUUCGACGUGCUUGUUAAGACUUAAGUUGCAGGUCGUUUAUCAAUUCGUAAAAUUGAAAAUUAAAUAUAAAUGCAAACAACAAUAGCGAAAGACAAUUCGCACUAGCUGCCUAGUUUUAGGCAAGCAGCAAAUAAAUAGCUUGGUCACAGGAGCUUUUAUUUGUUUCAUACUUUAUGUGGCAACUAAUAUACAAAGCUUUGAGUAUAUUAGUAUUUAUGAAGCUAGUCUAGUAAGUUAUUUGUAAGUAUAUGAGUACUAGAUGAAAAAUAAAUACUUACUAAACUUGUAGAUACUUUUGUUAAAGCUUGUACGGACACGAGUUCGAAUCUCGUCAUCUCCACCA
rnacentral:tmRNA from 1 species